ACGAACGCUGGCGGCGUGCUUAACACAUGCCAGUCGCACGGAAAGGCCCUGCUUUUGUGGGGUGCUCGAGUGGCGAACGGGUGAGUAACACGUGAGUAACCUGCCCUUGACUUUGGGAUAACUUCAGGAAACUGGGGCUAAUACCGGAUAGGAGCUCCUGCUGCAUGGUGGGGGUUGGAAAGUUUCGGCGGUUGGGGAUGGACUCGCGGCUUAUCAGCUUGUUGGUGGGGUAGUGGCUUACCAAGGCUUUGACGGGUAGCCGGCCUGAGAGGGUGACCGGCCACAUUGGGACUGAGAUACGGCCCAGACUCCUACGGGAGGCAGUAGUGGGGAAUAUUGCACAAUGGGCGGAAGCCUGAUGCAGCAACGCCGCGUGCGGGAUGACGGCCUUCGGGUUGUAAACCGCUUUCGCCUGUGACGAAGCGUGAGUGACGGUAAUGGGUAAAGAAGCACCGGCUAACUACGUG
rnacentral:rRNA from 1 species